GACGGAGGAUGCAAGCGUUAUCCGGAAUUAUUGGGCGUAAAGAGCUCGUAGGCGGUUUGUCGCGUCUGCCGUGAAAGUCCGGGGCUCAACUCCGGAUCUGCGGUGGGUACGGGCAGACUAGAGUGAUGUAGGGGAGACUGGAAUUCCUGGUGUAGCGGUGAAAUGCGCAGAUAUCAGGAGGAACACCGGUGGCGAAGGCGGAUCUCUGGGCCGUAACUGACGCUGAGGAGCGAAAGCAUGGGGAGCAAACAGG
rnacentral:rRNA from 1 species